rnacentral:misc_RNA from 1 species
GCACAUGUACUUCGUCCUUAUCACCUCCGUCUCUCACCCCCGAUCUCCCUCCCCUCCCACGGCCAGUGCCCCGGCUCCCUCCCCUCCGGUUCUCACCCCUCUUCCUCCUCGCCUCUGGGUCCCGACGCCUUCCGCCGUCGGUCGGAGCAGCACCUCCGCCACGCCACCGCUGGGUCCCGCUGUCUCCAGCCAUCGCCGCUUCACCUCCGCCACCUCACCACCGGGUCCCGUCGCCAUCUGGCUGCUGCUACCGGUGCAAUGGCGUGGCGAGGAAGCGCGGGAGGAGCCGGUACGGCUGGGCGCGGUCGCCUGGUCUGCAACAAUCUGCAUCCUGGGAGGCCAUGAGAGAAAAUAAGGUGAGGGAGAGUUGAUGAUUCGUGUAGAUUCGAGACAACCAUCAGUCGACCCUACAAGAUU